UGUCAACGAAAGCCCCCAACCCGAAGCUGCUCUCCUAUAUCCCUCCCUUCUUCUGCUGGCCUCAGCAUCCAUGCAGCUCUGCAGGCAGCUGCUCUGAGAGCUGAUUUGGCUGAGCGCACGUCUUCAGGGGGUGUCACAGGUAACUGGAUCCACUUGUGGUUGCAACACCAUAGGAGCAAAUGAUGGCUUUUCGACUGGAAGAGCAGAUGUCAUUAGGUAGCUGGGCGUCUGCAAGUUCUCCAAUGUGUGCAGUGAAACUGAUGGCCACUUAAAAAUAAAAAUCAUCACCUGGGUUCUACCUGAUCCCAUCCAGACAGCAGAACCCCUGCACAGACAGGUAAAA